UUAUUAAAAAAAAAAAAAACUAAAAUCCAACUAACAAUCUUCACAUAGAAAAUAUAAGUGAGCGUAAAAUAUCCAUAAUAAGUUGUAUUUGUAUCUCAAAUAUAAAAUAACACCAAAUCAACAAGCAUAACAUAAAGUCAAGAUUUAUUGCCACAUUUUCCACUCUUAAAAACUCCAAUAAGCUUCCAAGUUCUAAGCCUUAAAUAUGAUG
rnacentral:misc_RNA from 1 species